GAGGGUAUAGCUCAAGUGGUAGAGCACAUGCUUAGCAUUCACAAGGUCCUGGGUUCAAACCCCAGUACCUCCU
rnacentral:tRNA from 1 species